rnacentral:rRNA from 1 species
CCUACGUGGGACAGCAGUGAGGAAUAUUGGUCAAUGGCCGGAAGCCUGAACCAGCCACGCCGCGUGAGGGACGAAGUUUCCAAGCAUUGUAAACUUCUUUAGUCAAGAGACAAAAUCAGGCUCGAGAGCCUGACCGAGGGUACUUUAAGAAGAAGCAUCGGCUAACUCCGUGCCAGCCGCCGCGGUAAUACGGAGGUUGCGAGCGUUAUCCGGAUUUAUUGGGUUUAAAGGGUGCGUAGGCGGACUGUGAAGUCAGCGGUAAAAGCCUGGGGCUGAACCCCGGCGAGCCGUUGAAACUGGCGGUCGUGAGAUGGCGAGAGGUAUGCGGAAUGCGCAGUGUAGCGGUGAAAUGCAUAGAUAUUGCGCAGAACUCCGAUUGCGAAGGCAGCAUACCGGCGGCGAUCUGACGCUGAGGCACGAAAGCGUGGGUAUCGAACAGGAUUAGAUACCCCAGUAGUC